GGUUUUUUUCUCCUUGAGCUCCGUGCCGACAGGGCUGAGGUUUUUUUCUCCUCCUUUCAUAUAGGAUAAUAGCCAGGUGCAGCUGGUGUCCAUCUUGCUCUUCCGAACAUUGGUGACUGUUCGCGUUGAAAAGGAAAAAGAUUCCUUGAAGUCACACGUGCACCAGAGCCUGCUGUCACCCUUCUUCCACUGCCAUGAUGAGAACCAGCAGGUGGCUGAGGCCUCUCACAGAGCACUGCUUAGCAUGGCCAAGUUCCUGGAGACGAGAGAUCUUGCAAAUCCUGUGAAGGAUAAGCAACUGUGGAAGUUCGCUGAGGUCCUGCUGGCACAGGACGAGAGCCGAGCGGCCGAGUACCUGCACCAGGCCCUGCCGUACCUGCAGAACCCACAGGAGCCCCUGCGAGCAGCGGCCAUCAGGUUCAUGGGGAUUGCCGGGCGCCUCCUGAUGGGGCAGAAUGAAGAGCUGGAGAUCUGGCAAUCCCUUGCAGAAAUGAUAAAUGACGUCAGCCUGGAGAUCAGAAGCCUUGCUCUCCAGACAUUUCACCUGCUGACGGCAGGAGAACCCGCUCCGAUCUCCGUGUUCCAGAGGCUGCGAGAUGAGCUCCGCAGGGCAUGGAGAGCACGGCCUCGUCUAUCGAGCCUCAGCUGCCUAUGCUGCUGCAGCUGUGGCGGGAACUGAUCCGGCAGGAUCUGUCUGCUGGGGCCACAUGAGCUGGCAGGCAUUUUGCUUUUCUUAAAUAUUGUUAUUUUCCUUUUUUCAUUUCUCUGUAGUAUAGAAAUAUAGGAUGUGUUACAAUACACAGACUCCCAAGACUUUUCUUUUACUGCGCACGGUGCACAGGGCAUAGGGGAAGAAGGUGAAAAGGGUGCUUGUGCUCGGCAAGCUGCCCAGGCGUGCAGUGGUGCAGGGAAAGUGGCCAGAAGCUCUUGGCCUGUGGUGGUUGUGCUGAAGGCACAACCUCUGUCCCAAGCCAAGGAAGCGCCAUCUGUGUCCUCGUUCCGGUGUGUUGCUGCCUGCGUUGCUGAGAGCUUCCAGGUGCUAACAGACUCCUGGAGGUCUUGCCAAUGCACCUGCGAAGCGAGUGCAGGGAGAGGCGUCACCCGGCCCUCAGGGCCCUUCUUCAGCUUACUGACAAACCCUCAGUGGUGAGAAGUGGGCAGUGGCAGAAGCUGCACUGGGGAAUGCAGUCACAUGGGUUUGGCUGGGCUUUGGGCAAAAAGGCAGCUGCUGCCAGCUCUCCUGCCUCCCGCUUCAGCUGCCUGAGUGCUCUGGGACAGACCUUUGGCCUCUUGACCCCGUGGCAGCAGCAAGGUGGCGUUUCAUAGACUUCUGUUCUGCACAGACUGAAAAGAUGCGGAGCCUGACUGAACAGCUUGUGGAGCUCCUGCAGGAUGCAGAUGGAGAAAGAGUUUGGAUGACAGUCAAGGUGCUCAGUUUAUAGUCUUGGGCACGAAGAGGCUGAUACCCAGCCCCAUUGCCCUGCAGCUGGCUGAGGCGCUCCUGCCAUUCUUUGACUACGUAAGGCUCUGUGCCCCCAGCCGAGGCCACUGGCUGCUGCCUGGACACUUGGUGCCCUGGGG
rnacentral:lncRNA from 1 species